ensembl:lncRNA
GUAGUUUAUCUCUGCCGACCCGUGCCCAGCACUGGGGAUUUUUCAGUGCUCAUCAGAAACACCUAGCCGAAUCUUUUUCCAGCCGUCCUCCUCCUCCUCCUCUCUUCUUCCUUUUUUUUUUUUUCCCUUUUUCUUUUCUCCUGAGUACCUGGGUCAUGACCAUCCCUUGACGCAGCAGCACAAUGUCCGUCCUUUUGAUGAGUGUCUAUGUGUUCUGAGACUCCAUUAUGGCCACAAGCCCGGGGAGGGUGGCAGGGAGCACCCAGGUCCCCAGCACCCCGGGCCACCAAACUGGAACCCCAGGGCAGUCGAAGUCAGGUCUGUGCCCACCCAGAGCGGCCCCAUGCCCAGGCAAGGGGAUGCCGGUCCGAGAGAAGGCGAGGGCCCCAUCUUUGGUACCUUGAGUCCCCAGCACACACACCUGAAGCUGAUCUCUGACCUAGGGCCUCGGGGGACCGACAGAGCCUCCCCUCCUCUCCCCUCCCUGCAGCUCUCCCCGCCCCCAGGACCCCACACACCUCCCACUGCUCCAGCCAGCAGCAGGCACAGCUGGACCCCAGACGGUGGCACAGACGCAGGCCGUGCACGCUGCCUGGCAGGGCCUGAGGGGCCUGGGGGGCAGGCACCGCGGCGGACCAGGGGCGCUGCAUGCUGGCUGAGGGCCAGGGGCCUCCCGGCCCCCCAGACCCUUUCCUGGACUCUCCCUCGGCGCCCACAGACAGACGCUCUGUUCCCCGCAACUCACCCCCUGGAAGUGACCCUAACGGUGGCCCGCCCUUGCCAAAGCUAACCCUGUAGCCCUUCCCCACCCACCCUCCCGUGUCUGUGAGUGCUCUGGCUCCUCACCCUCCAGCCACCCCUCAAGCAUCCCUCUUGUCCUUUUCUUUGGCCUCUACUUGAAAGCUGUGAGAGGGAAGGAGAACCCUCCCCUCCUGGUUUCUGCAGGUUUGGCGGGGGGGGGGGGGGUGUAAAAAAGUCUUUCCACAGAACACCUCACUGGAAAUACACCCAUAGGGUGAGAAAAAAGACACUUCUGCUAUCUAGGAAAAAGCUGUCAUAUUAAACAUGCAAAUCUAGCUGAGCAUGGUCACACAUGCCUAUAAUCUCAGCAUUAUGGGAGGCUGAGGCAGAAGGGUCACAAGUUUGAGCCCAGCCUGAGCAACAUAAUGACUUAGAAAGACCUUUUCUCAAGUUUAAAAAUUUGUCGAAGGGCUUCAGAUGUAGCUCAAUACAAAGGCCCUGGGUCCAAUUUCCACUAUGGAAAAAAAUUAUUUCUAAAAUAGGGAGCCAUGCCCGGUGUGGUGGCACAUGCUUAUAAACCUAGCACUUGGGAGGCUGAGGAUUCGUGGCUAGCCUGGGCUACAGUGUUCAAGGCCUGCCUAACUCUAUAGGGGGACCCUGUCUCAAAAAAGCAAAAAUAGAACAGGGAUCCCUUUGUUCCGUGCCCAACAUGCACAGCUGUGCACACCCCCUUGUCUGUACGUUUUGCCUUCCUUCCUGUCCUGCUCCCAACCCCCACAUUGUAUCCUCCUCUCCGUUUACUAUCCCCUACCCUGUUUCCCAUCUGUGUCUUCUACCAGUGUGUAUCUGAUUCCCCUGGCCAGCCCCAAACCUGCCCUUGACUCUCAUCUCCGUGCCACUCCAGCCGGAGCUGGUUCACACCACCCAGUACCCCCCACCCCCAGCCCCUCAGCGCGGAGGACAGAGCCCCUGCCUGGGACACAGGGACUCUCCUCCCCCGAGCCACGGGAAUGCCCUUCACCCCUUCUCCCCGCUACCGCAGACAGCCAGGCCCGGCCUUGACCCCGACACACUUCCCAUGGAGCUAUGACUGAGUCUCGAGAUUCGUCGCAUGCGCCCUGUCUGUUCCUUCAGUGUCUGGCCUCGUUGCAUGUCCCCGGGGGCCUCCGCCUGCGCUUCCCCAGGAAUGACCACCCUCUGCCAUCCGUCCGCCCCAUCCCGGCCAGCAGGGGGCGGGUGGGAGCCGGCGGCUGUGUCUUGGACCCUCUGCCUGGCUGCUGCAUGCGCUCCUGGGACCCGGCCUGUGCGCUUUCUCUUUGGGGUCAGAAUGGAUCCGAGCCGGCCGGAAGAACUCUGGGGGCAGGAUGAGGAUUUGGGACAACGCUGGCAGUGUUAGCUCCGAGGACCAGAAAAGGAAGGGAGCUGGGCACGGUGGCACGCGCCUGUAAUCCUAGCACUUGGGAGGCUGAGGCAUGAGGAUCACUGCUAGUUCAAGGCCAGCCUGGAGGCUCCUGCGGAUGGACCUGCCCGUCGCUGAUGACAACACUGUCCACUUCAAUUCCACCCUCAUGGCGCUGAUCCGCACAGCCCUGGACAUCAAGAUUGCCAAGGGCGGAGCUGACAAACAGCAGAUGGACGCUGAGCUGCGGAAGGAGAUGAUGGCCAUCUGGCCCAACCUGUCGCAGAAGACGCUGGACCUACUGGUCACCCCGCACAAGUCCACGGACCUGACAGUGGGGAAGAUCUACGCGGCCAUGAUGAUCAUGGAGUACUCACCGUCAGAGCAAGGCCAAGAAGCUGCAGGCCAUGCGCGAGGAGCAG